AAGUUCUCGGAAGAUAAAUUGGGCUAUUUCGGCUAAUUUCAAGUACAAUAAUAAUAAAAAAAAAACUCCAUUCGCAUUGCAUGAAUCGGAAAAUAAAUUCUCUAGUAUAUUUAUAUAUUUUUGAAAGAUAUUUAUAAUCUGUAAGAAUGUUCUAAGUUUUUAUAUAUUUUUAUGUACGCCAUUUUAGAUUAAUGAGGUUUUAUUACAGUCAAAAGAAGCAUACAAUGCAUAAAUAUAAUUCUGCUUUUUAAAUGAUUAGAAAUAAUCUUGAAAUCCACGUAUAAUAGAUAUUUUAUGUAAACAUACCGCUACAACGGCAGUAAAGUUUAAUUUGACACAAUGGCAUAAAUGUUCGGUGUGGAAAGGAAAGCGACAUUCGGCCAGUACUGGCCUCUGACCCCGAUAAGAAUUCCGAAUACACUUUUAUCAAUAAUUUCUUGGCAUAGAAAAUAUCUCUUCCUCUUAAAUAAAGAAAAUUUAACUGGAAAAAUGGCUAUUUUAGUAAUUGCAGUCAGUACAAGACCGUUGUAAUUAUUAAACCGGCUAUUUCCUAAAGUUAUCAGUUUUCUUGGCUGGAAACAACGGCAAAACUUUCGAAUUUGGAGUUUCCGGGUUGCGAUUCUCAUUUAUUCAAUCCAGGUGUUUCUUUUCUAGUCAUAUAACGCAACCGUGAAGUCACCUUACUGCUUCGGCCAUUAUGGCUUGUUUACUUCUCGACCUGCGGCCUUCCAGACGAUGGACGGACUUACCCCCUCCGGCAGUAAACACGGACUCAAGCAUAAACAAGAGGAGGAGGAGACGAAAUACCGGUCGAGAGUCGGUUCGAUAUGGGGAGGGAAGGGGCACUCGAACGUAAACAGGGAAGGUCAAGGACGCGGUAUUAAUCGGACCUAUACGGAGUGAUCUGGACCGUCUUAAUAUUUACUUGCGCUUUUCUGGAUUUGGUCAAAUCUCUCGAUUUAAUUUGAAUCGAUUCAUUUUCGAUUCAAAUUAUUUCCCACCUGUCCGACAAACGGUUAAAAUGAUAUUGGACUCUUAAACUGAAAAAGCCGUUUUACCCCGUUUUGAAUGACCGGGAUUUGUCUCUACCGCCCUCUUAGCCUCCGGCCUUUUGCCGUUGUUUUCGUACCCGAUGCACUUCCGGCCCCGAUUGUUGACGGAAGUCUGGAACUAACGGGUUGCGGUUGCCCCGGGCCAGGUUGCGUUCCCGCACCAACGGAGCGGACCGAUGUCAACAGACGUCUGGCGGUCCGAGACAGAAAGAAGACACUUUUGAAUUUGGCCAAGGUGGAAGGGGAUGACAGAAGAGACUUAAAUUCUCGCCAGAAACACACACCCCUAAACUGUAUCUGUAAAUAAACCUGUCCUUAACCAGAGAUAGCAGCUUCGGCCUCAGAAAGAAGCUUCUUGGAGGAAAUCCGAUCAUCGUAGUAGUACUUUUCAGUUUAUUAUACAACAAUAAUACAGUUAUCUUAUUUUUCGACUCGCUAUUGUAUUGCAGUGUUUUAUAAUUGGUUUAAUCUUAAUGAUCAUGCAUUGCUCCCAUUCCUUUAUUUGUUCAAUUUGACCACAAAUAUCAGUAGACGAUAUAUAAAAGAUACAGGUAUUAAAUCUUCCGGUAUUAAAUCUACAUAUUAGGUAUUAAUACGUAGGUAUUUUAUUUACAUGUUUCCGAUCUUUUGGCGAUUAUUAUUAUUUUUUAAUAGGUGAAAGUUUUAGAUAUAUUUCAUAAAAGUAGCCGAAAAAUAGCCAUAUUUAUCUUCGGGAGAAUUUGGCAUUAAUUUGUUUCGAACAUGGACGUAUGGUUUCGAAUGGCUUCUUUCGGUUUGAUUUCAUUUUGUGUUCAGAUCUAAUUCUAGUGCUUUAAUUAGUUAACUUUAACAAUGGACGGAAAAAACAUUUUCUAUUCAUUACUGCGACUCGUUCUAAAUCUCGAUUAAACGAAAUAUAAUUUUUAUUUUGCAAAUAAAGUUAUUUAAUCGAGUACUAGAGUUAGGUUUAAGGAUAUUAAAUGUAAACACAAUAUUCAUAUCCCGAAAGAAACAAAGCUAUUUUUCUUUCUUUGGCCAAAUGACGCAUUUACUUUUAUAAUAAUAAAUAUUUUCCAAAAUAGGUUAGCAAUGACAUAGGCUGCGCUGCUAAAAAUAUGGCUUUGACGCCAAAUGCAUGUCGAAAUAAAAACGAAUACUACCUAAAAUAGAAUAAUUAUUAACGAUGAAUACGCGUGUGGGAACUGGGUUAAUAACUGACAUAUUUACUAAUAGACUAAUAACUAUUUUGAUCGAAAGAUUUUGACUUACAUGGCACUAAAAACAGUUUCAUCUUCGUUGCAUUGCUUCCGGUUGUUUGUAUCGUAUUUAUUUCUGUAUCCGAUAUACCAGAAUUUUAUUUAUAAACACAACGAAUAUCUUUUCUAUUCUCUCUGAAAAUACAAGAUUUCGAUUACAGAAAUUUAUAAUAAUAUUUAUUAGAGAAAUUAAAAAUUAUGCGCCCGUGUAUGCGUCGAUUUAUAAAUGACCUACGCUGUAAUAAUUUUAAAAUAAUAAUUUUGGAGCAAAAGUUUUCCUAGGGGGCGUGAGUCUCACAGUUUUUAAAAUCCUAUUCCGUUAUAUAUUUUCAUCUCUCUAUAAUGGUUGGAAUCGUUUAGGAUAUGUUUGGUUCGGAUUAGCCAUUCCUCUGUCACUACAAAAUUUCUGUGUGGUGCCGUUUAUUUCGAAUGUUUCCAAUUAACUUCGAAUUGCGGCCCCUUAAGUGGACGUUGGUUUGGCAGAUGGCAAGAUGGCGGAAGUACUUGGUGGUGGCCAGGUGUAGCCGUCACCUGUCGGACUCCACUAAUACUGCAGGAACUCUUUCUAGACUUGUACUUCCACCUGUUCUCCUGACUUUAACUAAUCCAAUCUAUCUCGUCUUUAGAUCUCAUUCUUUUUAGCUGAAUCAGAUUUGGUUACUCCGAUUUAGACUUACACCUCAGACCAUGGAUGUCUCAGACUUUAUAUACUUCGCGAUGAAAAUGGUCUUAGAGGACCUUCAUUUUUUUACUUCUAGAGUUAGUUUGGUUAGAUUAGAAUAGCGGAAGAGCCAGACGCCGAAUGAGAUCGAUAGGAUAGAGAAAACAGCGCCGCAGGAGUUAUUCCGUGAUCGGCCCACUUUCUACCACUGUAACGCGGAUUUGGAAAAAAACAGCCGGGCCAAAAGUAAUUCUAUGAAGUCUUCAGCCAUUCUCUGAUGUGGGUGGCUUUCUACUAUUACUAUUGGGGGAUAGUGCGGAAUAUUUACGCACCCGCGGGUCAUUGGGCCGAACCGACUUUCUCCGCGUAGGGAGGCGGUCGAUUCGCCCCUUCCUGAAGGCUGGGGUUUGCAAGCCGGAAUUCGAACGAUUGAUGACAUAUCGUAGCAUUCCGUUCUUUAUUUUUAUGCGGUACGGAGAUGUAACGGGCCCCAAUCCAGCCUGGAGGAUGGAAAAACAGAGAAAAAGAAAGCGACCGAUCCCCAAAAGGCCUCCGUAUCGCGCCAUUGGACGCCGCGUCGAGAUCGGCGUAGCAUAUCGAUCGCUGUCAGACGAGGGAGUACGCGUGCGGUGCAGAAAAAUCCAUAUUUUAAACAAAUAUGGCGGCCGUAUCUGCGUGUCUGGCGGCUGGUGUUGUCUGGUCCUAGACGGUCGAUGAUGCCGUACCACCUUUACGAACCCACCGUCGGUAUGGAAGCUCAGAUCGGGAACUGGUCCGAAUUCGGUCUGGACGCUGAUGCGUCUAAUUAUGAUCGUCGAUUACUAAUCCUUGUCUUUAUAUCUUUCAGCACCCCGGUCCAGGUGUAGAUGGUUGUGCUGGAGGUGGAACGAAACGCUAAGAGCGGCUGUUGACCGAUCAUGAACGAAGAUGAUGGUCCUGGCAACGGUACGAAGGUGUCGGCUACUUCGAUCACGGACAACGGCGACACUGCCAAUGGCAGCAGCAACGACAGCGCCUCUCUGUCGCACCGGGUGCCGUUGCCAGGUAACAAGCGGGUACAGGUGAUGGGUGCAAUUAUUGGACCGGAAGCGGUUGCGAGUAAAACGAUGACGGGUGAACUACAGACGGGUCUUGCCAUCAGCGGCACCUUCAAUCCCCUCCUUCUGGGGAGCGGAGAAACCAAUAGUACAAAUCUGGACGAUGGAGUGAGUACCAGUUCCUGCAACAACAACAAUAACAACAACAACGCCAACAGCGGCAACAGUAACGAAAGCAAAUCGG
rnacentral:lncRNA from 1 species